GCGGGUGUGGUUUAAUGGCAAAAUCUCUUCCUUCCAAGAAGAAGACGGCGGUUCGACUCCGCUCACCCGCU
rfam:Parcubacteria group bacterium CG1_02_40_25 cg1_0.2_scaffold_14276_c, whole genome shotgun sequence.